GGAGUCUUGGCGCAAUGGUAGCGCGUUGGUUUUCGGUCCUACUGAAAUGCACCAAAGGUUGUGGGUUCGAGCCCCAUGGACUUCG